ACACACACACACACACACACACACACACACACACACACACACACACACACACACACACACACACACACACACACACACAAACACACACAAACUUGUCCACUUCUAUCCACCCUUUCCAUUGGCCCCCGAACAGUGUCACUGUGAGAGCCAGUGUAGACACAAUUAAGGAAGGUGAAAUGUGCUGCCAUAUCUCUUUGAGUGGUAAGAUACGAUGUUCCCUUUGAGAUGGGAGCAGGGUAGCUGGGUUACCAGUUCUGUUUCUGCUCUAGCAAACACCGGUGUUUGUUGUUGUAGUCAGGUUUGACUGUUGGCUGGAGCCGUAAUGGAUCUGGCAACCAGGCUAGUAGCAAUGGGAAGAAAAGAGAUGGACAGAUUGAGAGUAGCUACUAUAGAAUGAGGUCUACGACAGGGGAGUGAGAGUGUCAGACGGGUGAGGAGGUUGUCCUUGAUUUGUUCAACACAGUGUGACGUCCGAUUGCUACUCUGAGCACUCGCCAUAAAUCGUCAUCUACAUUCUUAGGAAAAUGGGUUCCAAAAGGGUUCUGCGGCUGUCCCCAUAGGAUAACCUUUUUUGGGAAGGGAAAGGGUAUAUUUAGUCAGUUGCGCAACUGAAUGCAUUCAGUCUUCCACAUUUAACCCAAAGUGUCUUAAUUAGAGAACUGUAGGAGGCUGCCUCAUCGGCACUCUGGGGGGAAGUUGUUGUGGGGGUUAACUGUGUUGCUCCACCUUGCUGGUUCGGGGAUUCGAACAAGCAACCUUUUGGUUACUGUCCCAAUGCUCUAACCGCUAACGGGUUCUACAUGAUACCCAAAAUGGUUCUACCUGGAACCAAAAGGGUUCUUCCCGGAACCAAAAGGGGCUCUUCAAAGGGUUCUCCUAUGGGGACAGUCGAAGAACCCUUCUUGGAUCUAGAUAGCACCUCUUUCUCUAUGAGUGUACUUGAGGGGUGUGAAGCGCUUAACGCUAAACUCCUACCCCGUGUAAGAGAAUACAAUGCUGUACGUACGUUGUGCCCAGAUGGGGUUACUGUUGCGGCGUGUCUAAAUAUAACUGAUUCAUGAUAGCUGGGGUUGACUUUCACUGUCUUACAUGAGCACUGGGGCCAUCUCGCUUUACGCAAAUACACAGAGACCAAACCCAUGGACAUGCUGGGAACCACGUGUAGAUAAGGUUACGGCUAUGGACGAAUACACAUACAGUGACUUCAGAAAGUAUUCACCUCCCCUCCCAAAAAAUGAAUAUAUAUGUAUAUACAUAUUUUAAAAUACACUAAUAUAUCUUGAUUAGAUAAGUAUUCAACCCCCCCUGAGUCAAUACAUGUUAGAAUCACCUUUGGCAGCAAUUACAGCUGUGAAUCUUUCUGGGUAAGUCUCUAAAUCAAAUCAAAUCAAAUUUAUUUAUAUAGCCCUUCGUACAUCAGCUGAUAUCUCAAAGUGCUGUACAGAAACCCAGCCUAAAACCCCAAACAGCAAGCAAUGCAGGUGUAGAAGCACGGUGGCUAGGAAAAACUCCCUAGAAAGGUCAAAACCUAGGAAGAAACCUAGAGAGGAACCAGGCUAUGUGGGGUGGCCAGUCCUCUUCUGGCUGUGCCGGGUGGAGAUUAUAACAGAACAUGGCCAAGAUGUUCAAAUGUUCAUAAAUGACCAGCAUGGUCAAAUAAUAAUAAUCACAGGCAGAACAGUUGAAACUGGAGCAGCAGCACGGCCAGGUGGACUGGGGACAGCAAGGAGUCAUCAUACCCGGUAGUCAAGAGCUAAGAGCUUUGCACACCUGGAUUGUACAAUAUUUGCACACUAUUUUUUACAAUUCUUCAAGGUCCGUAAAGGUGGUUGUUGAUAAUUGCUAAACAGUAAUUUUCAAGUCUUGCCAUAGAUUUUCAAGACGAUUUAAGUCAAAACUGUAACUAGGCCACACACAAUGUCAUCUUGGUAAGCAAGUGUGUAUUAGGCCUUAUGCUGAAAGGUGAAUUUGUGUCUGUUGGAAAGCAGACUGAACCAGGUCUUCCUCUAAGAUUUUGCUUGUUUAUUUUAUUUAACCUAUAUUUAACCAGGCAAGUCAGUUAAGAACAAAUUCUUAUUUUCAAUGACUGCCUAGGAACAGUGGGUUAAUUGCCUGUUCAAGGGCAGAACAACAGAUUUGUACCUUGUCAGCUCGGGGGUUUGAACUUGCAAACUUCCGGUUACUAGUCCAACGCUCUAACCACUAGGCUACCCUGCCGCCCCACACUGCUUGUGUUUAGCUUUAUUCUGUUUCUUUCAAACCAUAAAAAACUUACUAGUCCUUGCCGGUGACAAGCAUACCCAUAACACAAUGCAGCCAACACCAUGCUUGAAAAUAUGAAGAGUGGUACUCAGUGAUGUGUUGUGUGGGAUUUGCCCCAAACAUUUCAGGACAAAAAGUGAAUUUCUUUGCUAGUUUUACUUUCAUGCCUGGUUGCAAACAAAUAUUUCUAAAAACAACAACACACAAUUUGUAGACAUUUGAGUGCUUGACUUUUAAAGGUAGUUUACCUUUGAGCCGACAUCUGCAGAGUUUACCUCUGAACGUCAGGGAAACUGCCUUUAAAGUCAAGUGCAGUGCGAUGUUUGCACAAUAGUUUGCCAAUGGAAUUCCCCCCACUCCAAGGUGACUCACCUCCAAAAGGCCUUAAAAUAACAGCUGGGUCCUCUAUUUGGGUCUCAGUCACGUAACACACACACUUGGCAGAGGCAGCUGGCCUAAAGGCCAAGGGUGGUUUACUCCAUGUCAGGGCAUGCAACUGACACCCUCCAUCCUCGUCCUAUUUCUCCACUUCAUUACAUGCAAUCGGUCACAUCCAGUUUCACUGUACAUUUCCAUGUGAACUGGUGCAACCUUCUCUAUUUGUUUGUUACUGCAUGCAGUAAACAGUGUGUGUGGCGUGCUACAGAAGAAGAGUGGGUAACACUUUACAUUUAGGUAACGUUUAUAAAAGUAAGUACGUAAUUAAUGUUUAUUUAAUCGUUUAUAAGUGCAUUAUAACAAUUAAUAAAUACUGAAAUGUGUAUCUUGAUACUUUAUGUUGCUGAUUAAAUAAACGUGUCUUUUC
ensembl:lncRNA